UACGAGUGCUUCGAGCGUUAUCCGGAAUCAUUGGGGCGUAAAGGGUGUGUAGGUGGUUGUGUUAGUCUCACGUAAAAUUCUUUCGGCUCAACCGAGAGUCUGCGCGGGAAACGGCACGACUAGAGGACGGAAGAGGUUUCUGGAACUCAUAGUGUAGCGGUGAAAUGCGUUGAUAUUAUGGGGGAACACCAAAAGCGAAGGCAAGAAAACUGGUCCGCUCCUGACACUGAAACACGAAAGCGUGGGUCGCGAAUGGG
rnacentral:rRNA from 1 species